UAAAAAAAAUGAAAAUAAUAGUAGUAGUAAUAAAUUUUAAAAAUUCCUAAAACUAUCAUCGCGUCCGGCGUCUCCACCUAAAGAUGAGAAUUCCAGUCUCCACCUAACUCGCCGCUGCACCACCGCCAGCGUCGCACUUGAUUUCAAGAUUAGCGCCUCCACACAAACUAAAUCUAGUCUCAGGUGCAGAUCUGCAUAUGCAGCACGAGCUACAAUGGUAUUAGACAUUAAAUAUUCCGCGAUGCAGAGCUGACUAUGCAAGUCUAAUGUUUCCAUUUAGCCCUACAGAUGAGUGCGAUUGAUGUUGGUCCAAAUCUUGUGUUCCUUCUUAAAGGAAUUGCCUCUGCCUGUGCAUUUGUGCAACUAUAUUUUGUGCUAAUCUGGACCUUAUGUUACUUCAUUUCAUUGUUGCCUUAAUCGUCCUUGAAUCUAAUUGCUCUGCUGUUGAUUUGCAUCUUAUUUGAUGCUAUAAUUUCUUAAAUACGAUCCAUCAUCUACUUUAGCAUUUUUAUUUUGUUUUUUAAACGGAACAGGGUUACUAAUGUUGUCAUCAAUCGAGCUAUUGCACUCAAGCUUUCUAUAAUAGAUAACUGGGCUUCUUGAAGAGACAUGGAGGAAUAUUCUUAGUUACUUUUAUUUUUCCUUUCUGAAUUAUGCUAUCAUUCUACAACUUUCUAUAAUAGAUAAGAAUAGCUAGUUUUUUGCUUCAGCGGAAGGCAUUAUUUUCGGUUUAAACUGCAGAACGUGGCCAUUUGAUGUUUAGGAAAUGAAACUUUUUAUUACCUGUCACAUUCUUAUUUUCCACUUUAUCCAGAGAGCAGAGUGGAUCGUGUCUUGGAAUUUUCUAAACGACAUAUUACAUAUGUUAGUUUUCUGGAUUCCAAGAAUCUGCAUCACCUUUUCUCACAUAAUUAAGUGAGUGAAGAAAAUGAGUUCCUGCACAUGCAGUUAUAGAUAGAUUAAGAUAUAUAUGUUGUCUCAAUCUUCUUCUUCCGUAAACCCCCUUCCUGUUGAUGACUAGUUUAUCUAAUGUAAAGCAUGUCAACUCAUUUGUAUAUCCUCUAUGGCCAUUCAAAACCAAUCAGAGAUUGAUGAACUUGUUGAUGGGACAGUAUUGAUACUGAUCAAGUAAAGGUCAUGGGAGUAACGAACUUUCUCCAUGUGUCAUUUAUUUCUUAUGUUUUAGAUACUUUUGAUGCCUGAUACUUAGAUCAGAAUUUGGUUUUUUUGUACCUGACAAAUUAGAAUGAUCAGUUCUGCCAUAGAUGGAUAUUAUCACAAUAUUUCUAAAUGCUUACCCCCUCAUAUAUAGUUACGUCUAUAAUGAUAAAUUUCUCUCAAUUGUGUCUCCCUAUGGUGUCCACAAGCUUCCUCAAAGAAUGCGGGGAGAUGAUGUUGUACGUGUACACAUAGAUGUAUAUACAUGUGCUCUUAUUACGAUUCCUGAAGCCGUCUAUCUGUGCUCGAGUGAUACAUCUGCUAUAGUUUGGAGUUGAUUUCUAUGCCCUCAAGCAGCUGUAACUUUCAUUCGUUGUUGACUUCAAUUAUUAACUAUAGUUCGUUUCUUGACUGUCACUGUAGUAAAUUUUUCUUGGAUGUUAGUAUAUGUUGCUGCCAAUCAUAAUAAGCCUUGAUGUUUGAUUAAGCAGAGCUCUAUUAGUAUUCUGCAAAGAACAAGAAGCCAAAGGUUGCUGUUGCUUCAGUUUUCGGAAAUGACAGUGACGAAGAGUGGAGAAAUUUCUGACAUUUCCAGCUGAUAUCGUGUUACUUUGAGAGCUCAGGAACAUCCCUCUGAGUAUACUUCAAUGGGUAAAUUGUAAUCGAGCUGGAGGCUGAGCGAUUGUAAAAAGAAGCCAUUAGUUAACAAGGCGUGGAGUGCGGGUUCGUUUUGGUUGUUGAAAUGGGGCUAAGACAGACUCUUCAGUUCAAGGAGGACUAUAAUACUAAAAAGAAAAUUGUAGCAAAGCUGAAAUCAUGCAUGGAAAGAUCAAUCUUUUUAGAGAGUGAAGAUAUAUAAUUAAACUUAAGUGAGCUUUUGCCUUCCCCUUGAUGUCUCCAAAGAUAAUCUAUCAUUGCUUCCUAGACCAUAUUUCUAAUUUUACCAUGAAGUUUUGCACAGAAUAUAUUGUGGAAUGAAGAAAUUUUCCUAUCAUUUAUUUAGUUCAGACUUUAGAUUAAAUUAUCUACAGGGUUGGUUGAUUUACUUUAGGAGGUAUGCUGAUGUAUCAUAUUUUUAUUUGAUUUGAGUAUAAUUAAUGUGGUUGGUCCUUCA